AUUGAACGCUGGCGGCAUGCCUUACACAUGCAAGUCGAACGGUAGAGUAGCAAUACUCGAGAGUGGCGAACGGGUGAGUAACAUAUCGGAACGUGCCCAAUCGUGGGGGGAUAACGUAGAGAAAUUUACGCUAAUACCGCAUACGAUCUAAGGAUGAAAGCGGGGGAUCGCAAGACCUCGCGCGAUUGGAGCGGCUGAUAUCAGAUUAGGUUGUUGGUGAGGUAAAAGCUCACCAAGCCGACGAUCUGUAGCUGGUUUGAGAGAACGACCAGCCACACUGGGACUGAGACACGGCCCAGACUCCUACGGGAGGCAGCAGUGGGGGAAUUUUUGGGACAAAUGGGCGAAAGCCUGAUCCAGCAAUGCCGCGUGCAGGAAGAAGGCCUUCGGUUGGUUAAACUUAG
rnacentral:rRNA from 1 species